GGUAGUCCACGCCGUAAACGAUGUCGACUUGGAGGUUGUUCCCUUGAGGAGUGGCUUCCGGAGCUAACGCGUUAAGUCGACCGCCUGGGGAGUACGGCCGCAAGGUUAAAACUCAAAUGAAUUGACGGGGGCCCGCACAAGCGGUGGAGCAUGUGGUUUAAUUCGAUGCAACGCGAAGAACCUUACCUACUCUUGACAUCCAGAGAACUUAGCAGAGAUGCUUUGGUGCCUUCGGGAACUCUGAGACAGGUGCUGCAUGGCUGUCGUCAGCUCGUGUUGUGAAAUGUUGGGUUAAGUCCCGCAACGAGCGCAACCCUUAUCCUUUGUUGCCAGCGGUUAGGCCGGGAACUCAAAGGAGACUGCCAGUGAUAAACUGGAGGAAGGUGGGGAUGACGUCAAGUCAUCAUGGCCCUUACGAGUAGGGCUACACACGUGCUACAAUGGCGCAUACAAAGAGAAGCGACCUCGCGAGAGCAAGCGGACCUCAUAAAGUGCGUCGUAGUCCGGAUUGGAGUCUGCAACUCGACUCCAUGAAGUCGGAAUCGCUAGUAAUCGUAGAUCAGAAUGCUACGGUGAAUACGUUCCCGGGCCUUGUACACACCGCCCGUCACACCAUGGGGAGUGGGUUGCAAAAGAAGUAGGUAGCUUAACCUUCGGGAGGGCGCUUACCACUUUGUGAUUCAUGACUGGG
rnacentral:rRNA from 1 species